UGAAAAUUUAAUUUUAUAUAUUAAAUUAGUAUUAGUUAAGUUCUUGAAAUUUAAAAAAUUUGGCGGUAUUUUAGUCUAUUCAGAGGAACCUGUUUUGUAAUCGAUAGUACACGAUGUAUCUUACUUAAAUUUGUUUAAAUAGUUUAUAUAUCGUCGUUUAUUGAAUAUUUCAUAAGAAUAAUAAUUUUCUUAAUUUUUUAUUUAAAAGUAUAUCAGAUCAGGAUGUAGCUUAUGUUUAAGUUUAUAAUGGGUUACAAUUAUUAUAUUAGUGGAAAUGAAUUUGUAAUUUAUUUAUUGAAACUGGAUUUGAUAGUAAAUUUAUAAAGAUAAAUAAUUUGAUUAUAGCUCUAAAAUAUG
rnacentral:rRNA from 1 species